rnacentral:lncRNA from 1 species
CAGAGAGACAUGAAACAAAAGAAGGGUUUCACAGGAUGUUGCUGGCGUGAAGAUGGAGGAGGCGCCAUGAUGAGGAACGCCGGUGGUCUCUAGAAGCUGAGAAUGGCCUUUGGCUGACAGCCUGCAAGGGAAUGGAAACCUCAGUUCUACUGUAACAAGGACCUGGAUUCUGCCAAUAACCUGAAUGCACUUGGGAGCGGAUUGUUUCCUAGAUCCUCCAGAUAGAGCUCAGCCAGCUGACACUUGGACUUCAGCGUUAUAAGACUCUAAGCAGAGAACCCAGCCAAGACCACCCGACUCUGACCUACAGAAAUUUUCUGGAGUUACAAAUGCACUUCAAUAAUGAUCAAGUCAUGCUGCAACAGGCACAGAGAACAAAGAAACAACUGCAACAAGAAACUGCUGAACUUGGGUCUGAAAUCCCAGCAUUAACAAAAAAGGUUCAAUGUCAAAAUCCCAGGAAGUUGGUCGGGCACGGUGGCUCACACCUGUAAUCCUGGCACUUUGGGAGACUGAGGCGAGUGGAUCACUUGAGGUCAGGAGUUUGAGACCAGCCUGGGCAAUAUGGAAAAACCCCAUCUCUACAAAAAGUACAAAAAUUAACAGUGUAGUAGCAUGCACCUGUGGUCCCAGCUACUCAGGAGGCUGAGGCUGGAGAAUCGCUUGAACCCAGGAAGCAGAGGUUGCAGUGAGUCAAGAUUACACACUGCACUCCA